rfam:Papio anubis isolate 1X1155 chromosome 6, whole genome shotgun sequence.
ACCUACAGCCAUACCACCCUUAAUGCACCUGAUCUCAUCUGACCUCAGAAGCUAAGCAGGUUUGGGUUUGGUUAGCACUUGGAUGGGAGAUAUAUAUAUAUAUACAUG